AUGGCAUUGAAUGUAAUAAAAAUCUGUUCUUAUCAGUUUAAUAUCUGAUACGUCCCCCAUUGGGGGACUAUAUAUUAAAUUGAUUUUUCGAACAGGGAGUCAGAAAUGUGGCUUGCUCCAUUCGCUCCACGCAUCGACCCGGUAUUGUAGUACCUCCGGGAACAGUGCAACACUU
rnacentral:snRNA from 1 species